GACGAACGCUGGCGGCGUGCUUAACACAUGCAAGUCGAACGGAAAGGCCCUGCUUUUGUGGGGUGCUCGAGUGGCGAACGGGUGAGUAACACGUGAGUAACCUGCCCUUGACUUUGGGAUAACUUCAGGAAACUGGGGCUAAUACCGGAUAGGAGCUCCUGCUGCAUGGUGGGGGUUGGAAAGUUUCGGCGGUUGGGGAUGGACUCGCGGCUUAUCAGCUUGUUGGUGGGGUAGUGGCUUACCAAGGCUUUGACGGGUAGCCGGCCUGGGAGGGUGACCGGCCACAUUGGGACUGAGAUACGGCCCAGACGCCUACGGGAGGCAGGAGGGGGGAAUAUUGCACAAAGGGCGGAAGCCUGAUGCAGCAACGCCGCGUGCGGGAGGACGGCCUUCGGGUUGUAAACCGCUUUCGCCUGUGACGAAGCGUGAGUGACGGUAAUGGGUAAAGAAGCACCGGCUAACUACGU
rnacentral:rRNA from 1 species